rnacentral:rRNA from 1 species
UACGUAGGGGGCUAGCGUUGUCCGGAUUUAUUGGGCGUAAAGAGCGUGUAGGCGGCCAGAUAGGUCUGCUGUGAAAACUCGAGGCUCAACCUCGAGCUGUCGGCGGAAACCAUCUGGCUAGAGUCCGGAAGAGGAGAGUGGAACUCCCGGUGUAGCGGUGAAAUGCGCAGAUAUCGGGAAGAACACCGGUGGCGAAGGCGGGUCUCUGGACAGUUCCUGACGCUGAGGCACGAAGGUCAGGGGAGCAAACGGG